rnacentral:tRNA from 1 species
GGCUCGUUGGUAUAAGGGUAUGAUUCUCGCUUUGGGUGCGAGAGGUCGCGGGUUCAAAUCCCGGACGAGCUC